rnacentral:rRNA from 1 species
GAUGAACGCUGGCGGCGUGCCUAAUACAUGCAAGUCGAACGAACAUAUUAGGAGCUUUUUCUUCUGACGUUAGCUGCGAAAGGGUGAGUAACACGUGGAUAAUCUACCUUUAAAACUGGGCUAAUCUCGGAAAACUGGCGCCAAUACCGCGUAAUAUAUUCAACCUCAUAGUUCAAUAUCGCAUGACGGUUUGGCUGUCACUUUUAGAUGGAUCCGUGCUCCAUUAUCUAGUUGGUAAGGUAAUGGCAUACCAAGGAAGCGAGGCGAAGCUGACAUGAAGGGAUGAUAGACGACACGGGUACAGAGACAGGGUCCAGACUCCGAAGGGGGGAAGCAGUAGAGAAUCUUCCGCGAGGGGCGAAAGGGUGACGGAGCAAAACCGCGGGAGUGAUGAAGGACUUCGGAUCGUAAAACUCUGUUGUUAGGGAAAAACAAAUGCGCAAGCAACAGUGAACGUAUUGACGGUACCUAAUCAGAAAGCCACGGCUAAAUACGUG